rnacentral:misc_RNA from 1 species
GUGAGUUUGUGAGACCAAGAAGAAUUGAGACGAAGGUCAAAGGCUCGGACCUGGCGAGCACCUCUGCGGACCAGCUCCAGACAGAGUGCGGAGCCGACGAAGCCCAGCCCACCAGUCACCACGAAGGUGUUGCCUUCUAUCCCUUCGUUUUCGCUCAAGUGCAUUUUCAAGAUUUAUUAUUUUUCUCUCUUUCUGCCUUUCUUUUGAUGGAAGAUGCACUCUGGGCUGCGUCUAGAGGGAGGAGGCUGUGCCAAUACUUGUAUCUUCACGAUAUCAUUUCUU